rnacentral:rRNA from 1 species
CAUGCAAGUCGAGCGCCCGGCCCGGGAGCGGCAGACGGGAGAGUAACACGUGGGAACGUACCCUUUGGUUCGGAACAACCCAGGGAAACUUGGGCUAAUACCGGAUAAGUCCGUAAGGAGAAAGAUUUAUCGCCGAAGGAUCGGCCCGCGUCUGAUUAGCUAGUUGGUGAGGUAACGGCUCACCAAGGCGACGAUCAGUAGCUGGUCUGAGAGGAUGAUCAGCCUCACUGGGACUGAGACACGGCCCAGACUCCUACGGGAGGCAGCAGUGGGGAAUAUUGGACAAUGGGCGCAAGCCUGAUCCAGCCAUGCCGCGUGGGUGAUGAAGGCCCUAGGGUUGUAAAGCCCUUUCGGCGGGGAAGAUAAUGACGGUACCCGCAGAAGAAGCCCCGGCUAACUUCGUGCCAGCAGCCGCGGUAAUACGAAGGGGGCUAGCGUUGCUCGGAAUCACUGGGCGUAAAGCGCACGUAGGCGGACUCUUAAGUCGGUGGUGAAAUCCUGGAGCUCAACUCCAGAACUGCCUCCGAUACUGUGAGUCUUCGAGUCCGGGAGAGGUGAGUGGAACUGCGAGUG